AUACGGAGGGUGCAAGCGUUAAUCGGAAUUACGGGGCGUAAAGCGCGCGUAGGCGGCUUGAUAAGUCGGAUGUGAAAUCCCCGGGCUUAACCUGGGAAUUGCAUUCGAUACUGUCAGGCUAGAGCGUGGUAGAGGGAAGUGGAAUUUCCGGUGUAGUGGUGAAAUGCGUAGAUAUCGGAAAGAACAUCAGUGGCGAAGGCGGCUUCCUGGAUCAACACUGACGCUGAGGUGCGAAAGCGUGGGGAGCAAACAGGAUUAGAUACCCCGGUAGUCC
rnacentral:rRNA from 1 species